AUUGAACGCUGGCGGCGUGCCUAACACAUGCAAGUCGAGCGGUAACAGGUGUAGCAAUACAUGCUGACGAGCGGCGAACGGGUGAGUAAUGCUUCGGAAUCUACCUUAUGGUGGGGAAUAACUAGCUGAAAGGUUAGCUAAUACCGCAUACGUCCUACGGGAGAAAGCAGGGGAUCGCAAGACCUUGCGCCAAAAGAUGAGCCGAAGUCGGAUUAGCUAGUUGGUAGGGUAACGGCCUACCAAGGCGACGAUCCGUAGCUGGUCUGAGAGGACGACCAGCAACACUGGGACUGAGACACGGCCCAGACUCCUACGGGAGGCAGCAGUGGGGAAUAUUGGACAAUGGGGGAAACCCUGAUCCAGCGACGCCGCGUGUGUGAAGAAGGCCUGCGGGUUGUAAAGCACUUUUAGUGGGGAUGAAAUGUGCAGGGUUAAUACCUCUGCAUUUUGACCUAACCCACAGAAAAAGCACCGGCUAACUCUGUGCCAGCAGCCGCAGUAA
rnacentral:rRNA from 1 species